UGACUNGAGUGCAGAAGGGGAGAGUGGAAUUCCAUGUGUAGCGGUGAAAUGCGUAGAUAUAUGGAGGAACACCAGUGGCGAAAGCGGCUCUCUGNUCUGUCACUGACGCUGAGGCUCGAAAGCGUGGGUAGCGAACAGGAUUAGAUACCCUGGUAGUNCACGCCGUAAACGAUGAGUGCUAGGUGUUAGGCCCUUUCCGGGGCUUAGUGCCGGAGCUAACGCAAUAAGCACUCCGCCUGGGGAGUACGACCGCAAGGUUGAAACUCAAAGGAAUUGACGGGGGCCCGCACAAGCGGUGGAGCAUGUGGUUUAAUUCGAAGCAACGCGAAGAACCUUACCAGGUCUUGACAUCCCGAUGCUAUUCUUAGAGAUAGGAAGUUACUUCGGUACAUCGGAGACAGGUGGUGCAUGGUUGUCGUCAGCUCGUGUCGUGAGAUGUUGGGUUAAGUCCCGCAACGAGCGCAACCCUUAUUGUUAGUUGCCAUCAUUAAGUUGGGCACUCUAGCGAGACUGCCGGUAAUAAACCGGAGGAAGGUGGGGAUGACGUCAAAUCAUCAUGCCCCUUAUGACCUGGGCUACACACGUGCUACAAUGGUCGGUACAACGAGUUGCGAGCCGGUGACGGCAAGCUAAUCUCUGAAAGCCGAUCUCAGUUCGGAUUGGAGGCUGCAACUCGCCUCCAUGAAGUCGGAAUCGCUAGUAAUCGCGGAUCAGCACGCCGCGGUGAAUACGUUCCCGGGCCUUGUACACACCGCCCGUCACACCACGAGAGUUUGUAACACCCGAAGUCGGUGAGGUAACCUUUUAGGGGCC
rnacentral:rRNA from 1 species